rnacentral:tRNA from 1 species
GUAGCUCAGUGGUAGAGCACUUGACUGGCAUGUAUGAAGGCCUGGGUUCAAUCCCCAAC